rnacentral:rRNA from 1 species
UACGGAGGGUGCGAGCGUUGUCCGGAAUCACUGGGCGUAAAGCGCGCGUAGGUGGCUUCGUAAGUCCGUUGUGAAAGUCAAAGGCUCAACCUUUGAAUGCCGAUGGAUACUGCGGAGCUAGAGUACGGAAGAGGCGAGUGGAAUUCCUGGUGUAGCGGUGGAAUGCGCAGAUAUCAGGAGGAACACCAAUAGCGAAGGCAGCUCGCUGGGACGUUACUGACACUAAGGCGCGAAAGCGUGGGGAGCGAACAGG